UUUUCUUAUGGGAAUUUGGUUAGAUACUGUGAAUUUGGCUAUUUCUCCAUCCAAGUCUAUGAAUUUUUCUCAUCUAUUUUGAAUCACUGCUGUUAGAUGCAUUCAUAUUUAAGAUCAUAAUGUCCUCUGUGAAUUGUCUGUUUCAUUGUUGUAUUAUGGCCUUCUUUAGCCCUUGUAAUAUUUCUUCUUUUGAAGCUUAUUUUGUCUGAUGUUAAUAUAGACACUCCAGCUUUCCUCUGGUUAGUAAUUGCAUGGUAUAUCAUUUUCCUAUUCUCUUGCGUUUGAUUCAUUUAUCACUUUUUAUUCCUCAUGAUAACCACAAAGCAAACAAUCUACAAGAGAUACACAAAUGUUAAAUAAAAAGGAACCAAAGCAGCAGUAUGGAAAAUAACAAAAUCACAAAGAUGAAAAAGAGGAAGAAAGGAAUGAAGGAUACAAACAAAAAACAGAAAUAAUUAACAGAAUGGCGUUAGUCAAUCCUUAUAUAUCAAUAGUUACUUGAAUGUAAAUUAAUUACAUUAGUUACAUAAAAAAAUAGGGUGGCUGAAUGAAAUAAGAAAAUACAAAAUCCAAUUCCAUGUUGCCUAUAAGACCUUCUGAUAUUAUUUUCCUUUGUUUGAAUAAGUACCUUUAGUAUUUCUUUUACAACAGGUCUGGCGAUGAAGAAUUCUUUUACUUUCCAUUCAUCGAAAAAAAAUUUUUUGCUUAAUUUCUGAAGUAUAUUUUUGUUACAUAUAGAGUUCUGAAUUAAAAGUUAUAUUCUUUAAGUACUUUAAAGAUGACAUAACACCGUCUUCUGCAUCCAACCAUCUCUGGUAACAAAACAGCACAUAUAUGACUCAGGAUUUACUUUGACUCAUGGGAAAUGUUUUGCAUUGACAAGUCCUGGAUUACUUGCUAUGCUGCUCAGGGUCUCUCUGUCCCCUACCCCCGACAUAACUAACGGUAAGCCAAGUUUUUGUGCUGGCUGAUACUCAGAACUGAGGGUUUCUUUAUUCAGUCUUUUCUCUAUUAGAAUUUCUCCCACAACCUCCAGCUUUACAGAACUCCUUUUCCUGUCCACUGCUGAGAAAAGCAAGGUUUGUCUUAGAGAUUUCACUGCCCACACACCUGCGCGACUAUGAAAUUUGGGCCUGCCUUCAGAAAAAGACAGUAAGAAAAGAGGAAGAAAAAAUAACCACUGUAUCCACUCAUGCCUGAGUUCUUUUUUUAAAGUCUUAAUCCCUUUAAAAUGAUUCAAGAGCACUGGAUCUUGACUGGGGUUCUGCUCACACCCAAAACUUCCCGAUCUCUACCUCUUACAUUCUAACACAUCAUUGGGCUGGUUCCUGGUUGUUUUACUAAAAUCCACUGAGGACAUCUUUUGAUUCAUCUUAAAACACAAAUAUAUCUGAGAAAUGUAAAUUUAAGCUCUUGGAUUUAUUCACACUUUAGGGUGCAGAGGACUCUGAAGAAAAUUGAUGCAGAAUGGCAAGACAGUAGUGCAGAUAAAAAAAACUGCCUAAAUUAUCAUUUUGCCUUAAUUGAAACACAUAUUCAAUCUGCGUAGACGUAAAGUACUCAGAUACACAGCAAUUUCAAGUAGGGUACAGACAAGUUCAUAGACAAUGAUCUAGAAUGAACUAUAUUAAUAAUUCUAUAAAGAUCUUUCUAGGGACAGACAGUGCAGUAGCUCCCUUCUUAUCAGUGGUUUUGUUUUCUGUGGUUUCAGUUACCUAAAGUCAACUAUGAUUUAAAAAUAUUAAAUGGAAAAUUUCAGAUAUAGACAAUUCAUAAGUUGUAAGUUGCAUGUUAUUCUGAGUAACAUGAUGAACUCUCACACUGUCCAAUCUGUUCCGCUGGCAAUGUAAUCACCCCUUGGUUCAGCCUAUCCACACUGUAGAUGCUACCUGCCUGUUAGUCAUUUAGGAGACCUCUUGGUUAGCAGGUUGACAAAUCACAAGAAGACAGGUGAGUAAACUACAAUAAGAUAUUUUGAAAUAAAGGGAGGAAGAACACAAUCAUAUAACUUUUUGAGAGAGACAGGGAAUCCAUGUUCACCUAACCUUUAUUACAGCAUAUUGGCACAAUUGUUCUGGUUUAUUAGUAAUUUGUAUUAAUUUCUUGCUGUGUCUAAUUUAUAAAUUAACCUUUAUCAUAGGUAUGUAUGCAUUGGAGAAGAAAUAGUAAAUAUAAGGUUUGGUAUCAACUGGAGAUCUUAGAAUUUCUUUGAAAACAUUUGAAUACAAAUACCUGAAGAUCAAAUAAAAGCCAUAUUUGCUUCCCGUAAGGUGAAUUAAUAAAAGAAGGAAAUAUCACAUUAUGAUUUUUGCCAAAACUUUCUUUUAGUAACAGACAAGCUGGUAAUAAAAUUAAAAAUUAAAAUGUGUAGAAUUAUGACUGCCUAUACAUGUUUGAGCAUUUGUUGGCUUAUGAAAGAAAUGUCAUUAAAAGGAGUUUAUUUGUGAGAGUUUCACUGAGCAACUAAAACAUAAAAUUUCAAUAUAAUCAAAAUUUUGAGUAAUAAAAAAUAGACCCAAAUAUCUUCUAUAACAUUGGCUUAUGUUUGAACAUUGUUCAUAUUUUGGUUAAAA
rnacentral:lncRNA from 10 species